rnacentral:rRNA from 1 species
UUAGAGUUUGAUCCUGGCUCAGGAUGAACGCUAGCGGCAGGCUUAACACAUGCAAGUCGAGGGGCAGCAUGGGAGUAGCAAUACUUCUGAUGGCGACCGGCGCACGGGUGCGUAACGCGUAUGCAACCUACCUGUAACAGGGGGAUAACACUGAGAAAUCGGUACUGAUACCGCAUAACACUAUGAGAGGCAUCUCUUGUGGUUGAAAGUUUCGGCGGUUACAGAUGGGCAUGCGUUGUAUUAGCUGGUUGGUAAGGUAGCGGCUUACCAAGGCGACGAUACAUAGGGGGACUGAGAGGUUAACCCCCCACAUUGGUACUGAGACACGGACCAAAUUCCUACGGGAGGCAGCAGUGAGGAAUAUUGGUCAAUGGACGGAAGUCUGAACCAGCCAUGCCGCGUGCAGGAAGACGGCUCUAUGAGUUGUAAACUGCUUUUGUACAAGGGUAAACCUGAAUACGUGUAUUCAGCUGAAAGUACUGUACGAAUAAGGAUCGGCUAACUCCGUGCCAGCAGCCGCGGUAAUACGGAGGAUCCAAGCGUUAUCCGGAUUUAUUGGGUUUAAAGGGUGCGUAGGCGGAUUGAUAAGUUAGAGGUGAAAUGUCCGAGCUCAACUCGGGAACUGCCUCUAAUACUGUUGAUCUAGAGAGUAGAUGCGGUAGGCGGAAUGUAUGGUGUAGCGGUGAAAUGCUUAGAGAUCAUACAGAGCACCGAUUGCGAAGGCAGCUUACCAAUCUAUAUCUGACGUUGAGGCACGAAAGCGUGGGGAGCAAACAGGAUUAGAUACCCUGGUAGUCCACGCAGUAAACGAUGAUAGCUCGUUGUCGGCGAUACACAGUCGGUGACUAAGAGAAAUCGAUAAGCUAUCCACCUGGGGAGUACGUUCGCAAGAAUGAAACUCAAAGGAAUUGACGGGGGCCCGCACAAGCGGAGGAACAUGUGGUUUAAUUCGAUGAUACGCGAGGAACCUUACCCGGGCUUGAAAGUUAGUGACUGAUCUGGAAACAGGUCUUCCCUUCGGGGCACGAAACUAGGUGCUGCAUGGUUGUCGUCAGCUCGUGCCGUGAGGUGUCGGGUUAAGUCCCAUAACGAGCGCAACCCCUACUGAUAGUUGCCAUCAGGUCAAGCUGGGCACUCUAUCGGGACUGCCGGUGUAAGCCGGAGGAGGGUGGGGAUGACGUCAAAUCAGCACGGCCCUUACGUCCGGGGCGACACACGUGUUACAAUGGUAGGUACAGAGGGCCGCUACCCAGCGAUGGGGUGCAAAUCUCGAAAGCCUAUCUCAGUUCGGAUUGGAGGCUGAAACUCGCCUCCAUGAAGUUGGAUUCGCUAGUAAUCGCGCAUCAGCCAUGGUGCGGUGAAUACGUUCCCGGGCCUUGUACACACCGCCCGU